AUUGAACGCUGGCGGAAUGCUUUACACAUGCAAGUCGAACGGCAGCACGGGGCAACCUGGUGGCGAGUGGCGAACGGGUGAGUAAUAUAUCGGAACGUGCCCAAUCGUGGGGGAUAACGUAGCGAAAGUUACGCUAAUACCGCAUACGAUCUACGGAUGAAAGCGGGAGAUCGCAAGACCUCGCGCGAAUGGAGCGGCCGAUAUCAGAUUAGGUAGUUGGUGGGGUAAAGGCUCACCAAGCCAACGAUCUGUAGCUGGUCUGAGAGGACGACCAGCCACACUGGAACUGAGACACGGUCCAGACUCCUACGGGAGGCAGCAGUGGGGAAUUUUGGACAAUGGGCGCAAGCCUGAUCCAGCCAUUCCGCGUGCAGGAUGAAGGCCUUCGGGUUGUAAACUGCUUUUGUACGGAACGAAACGGUCUGCCCUAAUACGGCGGGCUAAUGACGGUACCGUAAGAAUAAGCACCGGCUAACUACGUG
rnacentral:rRNA from 1 species